GUCCACGCCGUAAACGAUGGGAACUAGGUGUUGUGGGUGUUGACCCCCGCAGUGCCGAAGCUAACGCAUUAAGUUCCCCGCCUGGGGAGUACGGUCGCAAGACUAAAACUCAAAGGAAUUGACGGGGGCCCGCACAAGCGGUGGAGCAUGUGGUUCAAUUCGACGCAACGCGCAGAACCUUACCUGGGCUUGACAUCCUCGGAACCUGCAAGAGAUGGUGGGGUGCUCGCAAGAGAGCCGAGAGACAGGUGCUGCAUGGCUGUCGU
rnacentral:rRNA from 1 species